CCUACGGGUGGCAGCAGUCGAGAAUCAUUCACAAUGGGGGAAACCCUGAUGGUGCGACGCCGCGUGGGGGAAUGAAGGUCUUCGGAUUGUAAACCCCUGUCAUGUGGGAGCAAAUUAAAAAGAUAGUACCACAAGAGGAAGAGACGGCUAACUCUGUGCCAGCAGCCGCGGUAAUACAGAGGUCUCAAGCGUUGUUCGGAAUCACUGGGCGUAAAGCGUGCGUAGGCUGUUUCGUAAGUCGUGUGUGAAAGGCGCGGGCUCAACCCGCGGACGGCACAUGAUACUGCGAGACUAGAGUAAGGGAGGGGGAACCGGAAUUCUCGGUGUAGCAGUGAAAUGCGUAGAUAUCGAGAGGAACACUCGUGGCGAAGGCGGGUUCCUGGACAUUAACUGACGCUGAGGCACGAAGGCCAGGGGAGCGAAAGGGAUUAGAGACCCCAGUAGUC
rnacentral:rRNA from 1 species